UGCAAAUAGAAACAUCCACAGAAAAGCGAAAGAUAAAAAUGUAUAGGUAUGUUAAUUGAACUCAAAAACAGUUAUUUUAGCCACAAUUAAAGUGCCCAUCUCAGGACUGUCUUGAGGCUGAGCACAUUUACCCACUGGGCUGAGAGCAGCUCAUUCUUUUAUAGACAUCAUGCCCCACAGAACUUGUUUCAUUUUCCCGAGUACUAUUUUUCCAUUAUAAAGAUUAGCACACGGUCAUUACAGGAAUUUUGGAAACUGUAGAAAAUCGAAGGGGGGUUAAAAAAAUCCUUAUUUCUUCUUGACUUAAAGACAGCUAUUAACUAAGAUUUUUUUUUUCAGUUUUCUUUCUAUGUAUGAGUUUUAUUUUGUUUGAGGCCAGAGGGAGAAUAGGGGAAUCAAGGGAGAAUUUAAGGCAAAAAGUGAAGCGGAGUAUCCAAGGUCGUCAAAAUAACACAGCACGACAGAGAGCGGCCGUCUCAGUGCACGUCUGGCGACGGAACAGGACCGGAUGCGUGAGUCAGGAAGGUCGCCCGGCGUGAGAAGGGAGGCGGACGUCAUCGCAGCGACGGAGUAGAGUUUGUCUCGAUCAGUUUAUGAUAAAAACAGAUCUGAAAGAAUAAUGUGCUAGAACAAUGACAUGUACACGCUGGGUUUCACGCUGUACUUGCAGAGGACACCAUUCUUUCUGGUGUCAGUGGAAACAUUCAACAAUGGCUCAUGUAAUGGAUGCGAUGCUAAGAGUUUGCCUCCAGGAAACCCCAGCAAGAGCCAUCUGUCCAAGCAAGUGGUGGUUCUGUAGCAGGAGGCCGGAGGCAGCACGGCCACUGGAAGGCACACCCAGGGUGGCCAGCUGCUCCCCUUGGCCCUGUGUCCUGGGUGUGUGUGUGGCCGUUGUCCUCAUGACUGCCUGAGUGAGGGCCACUGUGCCUCUGAGCAUUGCGCUCAGUUCCAGGCAGAAGGAAUUGGAGGGCAAAGGGGCAGGCGGCCGGCGUUGCGAAGCCCCCACUGAAUGCUGUGGUGAAGGAGUGGACAGAGAGAGGCCGGGAGGGAGGGAAACCUGGGACAGGUGCCUCGCUGGUGUGCCCGCCUGAAGGGUGGGGAGCAAGAGCAUCGACCAGCUGGCUCCUGGCGCCACGGGUUGAGGGCUGCUCAGGGAUUGCUCGGAGCAGCUCCCAUGAGGGCGCAAGCACAAGAAACAGUCCUCUCAGGGCCGCCGAGCCAGUGCAGCCACGGUCAGAAGACUGCUUCCUCGAAAGAAGAACAGAGACCAAAGCCCAGGAGCAGGGAGUGGGGCGGAAGACCUCCUCCUCCUCCUGAACAGGUUUGGAGUGGAUUGGACAGCUGGCCCCUGACAUUUCCUCAGCACCCAAGGGCCACCUCUGCAGAACCCUGCUCACCACCCUGUGGGCUGCCACUUGCAGCCUUCAUCUAGAAGGACUGCUACCGUGCAGAACAUGACCCAGCUGCACCCCUUUGGGGGGCCUUGCAGAGAUUCACAUGGAGAGGAGACUGACCCCCCUCACUUCAGAGGAGGGGUGCAUGGGAAGCUCCUGGGAAGGGGAGUGAGGGUGGCAGGAUGGGCACAGGUGGACCCCACAGGACUCUGGGGGGCCCGCCAAACACUCUGCAUGUGAACUGACCCCUUCCGAGGCUGCAUCCGUCCCCCUGGAUGGCAGGGACUGUGUCCCACUCCCUCCCACUACUCAGCCCACAUUUGCUGAGAUUAGCAGGAUGGGGUUAGUAUUUAAUUCCCUCUGGGCUGCUUAGCGCUUUCUGUGGCCACAACCAACCUAUAGAAACUGAUUCUGGGUAAUUUAACCAAAAGGGAAUUUAUUGAGAGGGUGCUGGGGACUCCCAGGGUAGAACAGAAGGCCAGACAGCAGCUACAGGGAGCCAGAGGCCCCCUCGAGAAUGGGUGGGCUGCAGCUCCCGCCCACGGCCCCAGGCCCACCUCUGCUGUGGGGAGAGGAACCGACCCCUUCCCCAGCUCUGGGGGCCCCACCACCUGGAGACCCUGGAGGCGGCCGUCGUCUCCUACAGGGAAUUAAGUGGGAGGGCAGGCUCUGGACACCGGGUCCAAGGAAGCCAUCCAUUCCACAUUGUUGCAGUGUUUGCCAAGCAAGGAGGAAAUCUGUCAUCUCCUGCUGUGGAAGGGACCCUGGGCCCGGCCACCGCCUACCGGCUCCCUUCCUCCAGGGACCUGGAUGACCCCCACCUCGCCCCUUCUCCUGAGGGAGGCCACUCUCCCUCCUUGCUGUGGGUGGUGCCAGGCUGCCAAGGUGUUAUUUUGUUCAGCAGGGGGUGGAGUCUUGGGCCGCCACAGCUGUGACGACUCUGAGGAUGUUUUUUCCCACAAAGGAACCGAGCAGGCUGGGGGUGUCAGCAAAUGCGGUCCUCUCUCUGUUACUGCUGCCCCUGCACCAGGCCUGGUCAAGGGGUGACAGGCCUCAGACACCCAAAAGGCAGUGUCCAGGGGUCGUGAGGUAAGAUCAGAACCCACCUUGGUGUUGCGUUAAACACCAAGUUGAAAUAUUUGCAUGAGCACAGAGAACAGUGCGGGGCGUGCACACCGAAGCACGGGUGCCGCUCACUGAGGGCUGAGAUCGCGGGCAUCAUAUGGGUACUCUAGGGAGAACCUAAGACUUUUGAAAUUAAAGACGUUCAGAGGAGG